rnacentral:rRNA from 1 species
GGCCUACCAUGGUUUUAACGGGUAACGGGGAAUUAGGGUUCGAUUCCGGAGAGGGAGCCUGAGAAACGGCUACCACAUCCAAGGAGGGCAGCAGGCGCGCAAAUUACCCAAUCCCGACACGGGGAGGUAGUGACAAAAAAUAACAAUACAGGGCCAUUGGUCUUGUAAUUGGAAUGAGUACAAUGUAAACACCUUAACGAGGAACAAUUGGAGGGCAAGUCUGGUGCCAGCAGCCGCGGUAAUUCCAGCUCCAAUAGCGUAUAUUAAAGUUGUUGCAGUUAAAAAGCUCGUAGUUGAAUUUCGGGAUCAAUGUUUCGGUCAUGCCGUUGGUAUGUACUGAUAUUAUUGGUUUCUCACCUUCUAAAGAACCGUAAUGCCAUUAAUUUGGUGUCACGGGGAAUUAGGACUGUUACCUUGAAAAAAUUAGAGUGUUUAAAGCAGGCUCACGCUUGAAUACAUUAGCAUGGAAUAAUGAAAUAGGACAUCCGAUUCUAUUUUGUUGGUUUCUAGGAUCGAUGUAAUGAUUAAUAGGGAUAGUUGGGGGCAUUAGUAUUCAAUUGUCAGAGGUGAAAUUCUUGGAUUUAUUGAAGACUAACUACUGCGAAAGCAUUUGCCAAGGAUGUUUUCAUUAAUCAAGAACGAAAGUUAGGGGAUCGAAGACGAUCAGAUACCGUCGUAGUCUUAACCAUAAACUAUGCCGACUAGGGAUCGGAUGAUGUUAAUUUUUUAAUGACUCAUUCGGCGCCUUACG